CUCUGCUUAUGAUAAUGUCAACAAAGUUCGAGUAGCUAUCAAGAAAAUCAGCCCCUUUGAGCACCAGACCUACUGUCAGAGAACUCUGAGGGAGAUAAAAAUCUUACUGCGCUUCAGGCAUGAGAACAUCAUUGGCAUCAAUGAUAUUAUUCGAGCACCAACCAUCGAGCAGAUGAAGGAUGUAUAUAUAGUACAGGACCUCAUGGAAACAGACCUUUACAAGCUCUUGAAGACGCAACACCUCAGCAACGACCAUAUCUGCUAUUUUCUUUACCAGAUCCUCAGAGGGUUAAAAUAUAUCCAUUCAGCUAAUGUUCUGCACCGUGACCUCAAACCUUCCAACCUGCUGCUCAACACCACCUGUGAUCUCAAGAUCUGCGACUUCGGCUUGGCCCGCGUUGCUGACCCGGACCAUGACCACACAGGCUUCCUGACGGAGUAUGUAGCCACACGCUGGUACAGGGCUCCAGAAAUUAUGUUGAAUUCCAAGGGCUACACUAAGUCCAUUGAUAUCUGGUCUGUUGGCUGCAUUCUGGCAGAGAUGCUCUCCAACAGGCCCAUCUUCCCCGGAAAGCACUAUCUUGACCAGCUGAACCACAUUCUAGGUAUUCUUGGAUCCCCAUCACAAGAAGACCUGAAUUGUAUAAUAAAUUUAAAAGCUAGAAACUAUUUGCUUUCUCUUCCACACAAAAAUAAGGUGCCAUGGAACAGGCUGUUCCCAAAUGCUGAUUCCAAAGCUCUGGACUUACUGGAUAAGAUGUUGACUUUCAACCCACACAAGAGGAUUGAAGUAGAACAGGCUCUGGCCCACCCAUAUCUGGAGCAGUAUUACGACCCAAGUGAUGAGCCUAUUGCUGAAGCACCAUUCAAGUUUGACAUGGAAUUGGAUGAUUUGCCCAAGGAAAAACUCAAAGAACUCAUUUUUGAAGAGACUGCAAGAUUCCAGCCAGGAUACAGAUCUUAAAUUUGUCAGGACAAGGGCUCCAAGGACUGGACGUCUCAGACAUCGGUGUUCUUCCCAGUUCUUGACCCUGGCCCUGUCUCCAGCCCGUCUCGGCUUACCCACCUUGACUCCUUUGAGCCAUUCGGAGGGGCGAUUUCUGCAUGUGAGCAUCUCAAGUUCAUUUUCCAACCUACGAUAUAACAAUUUGUAAUAAAGCCUUCAUGAGCUCGUGACAUGAAGCACUGUUCUGUCGUCAAGUACUCUCAAGCGUUUCUGGUUCUGCUGAGUUCAGACCCUCCAACAAAGCUCGCACUAGUCCCGUGUACGCUGUGUCCACUCCUCCCUGACACUGUGUGCUGUGGACUUGACUCAGUGUUCUGUGCCCAUGCGGCACCUCCUCCCGACUCCCCCACUGCUCUCUGUGGUGAGAACUUUGCCUUGUUCAAUAAUUACUGUACCCUCGCAUGACUGUUACAGCUUUCUGUGCAGAGAUGACUGUCCAAGUGCCACAUGCCUAUGGUUGAAAUGAAAAAUCUGUUGUUACCUCUGACUUGUGUUCCACGGAAAAUGCUACCCAGCAGAUCACUUAGGAGAAAUAAUUCUAUUUUUAGCUUUUCAUUUCUCAGCAGUCCUUUUUUUUCUUGUUUGAUUUUGACAGCAGUGGAGAAUGGGUUAUAUAAAGACUGCCUGCUAAUAUGAACAGAAAUGCCCUUGUAACUCAUGGAAAUAAAUGUACAUCUGCUCUCUUCACAUUCAUGUAAGAUUCAGUGUUGAUUUCCUCUGGCUUAGUGUGUGGACAGUCAGGUUUAGCUUGUGCUUUAGAACAGAAAUGCCCAUGGGCCCUUCUUUCCCCUGGGACAGCCCAGCCUUUUCCCUCCGCACAGCAGAGGCAGUUCCGACCUUCUCUACUCACAU